GUCUGGGGAGCUUUGGGACAUCUUGAACUGGGCUGUGAUGAAUGGGAAAGUUUGGACACUAGACAUAGAAGGGAAAGGGUGGAAGGAGCUAUAUAAACAAUAGCAAGAGUUGAAAGCACAGCGGCUAUGUAUUGGGGGCAAUGGCAUGUUUGCUUAUGCCAUGGAACAAAAUGAAAAGAAUGCAGAAUACAGUCCUAAAUGGGGCUGUGACUUGUCUUCAUUCUGCUUGAUGGGAGAACCACUGAGUGGCUAGGCAGAGGGGGAAGGCAGGAGCAGUUAUGCUUUAGGAAGAUUUGGACUGGCAACUGGGGACUGGAGUCACGCAGUCCGAUUAGGAGGAAGUAGGUGACUGUAAGACAUUAGGUAAGAGCUGAACAGAAAUGAGAGACAUGAGAAGAAUUGCAGAUGACAGAACCCAGGACUUCACUACAGAUUAGAAGAAGGUAUCAAGAGAGGAAGGACAGUGCUACUAAUUGAGACAAAAGGAACUCUGUGAAGGAAGAAGUGAGUCAGAGAUGCUGGAGUUGUAUCUUACAAAAAGGAUCUUACGUAGUAAGAAUCAGCACCCAGGACAAUGACAUAGAGUGUUGAUACUAUGAGCUUCACCAGACCUGGGAGAAUAUUGUCUUUGAAUCCCUGGCAAUCACCAGUACCCACACAUAGUAGAUACUCAACAAAUGAUGCUUAGUGAAGGAAAAAGGCUCCCCUGGCUGAGGAACUUCAGGAAAGUAAAAACUAGGAAGAGUCUCAAGAACGCAAAGAAGUACCUAGGCAUGGAUCUAGGAUCUUAUCAGCCUAACUGAGGUCACAGACAACAAGAUCACCUCUGAUGUGAGCAAGUUAAUGUAGAUGGCUACAUUACUCUUACUUCCAAUGGAAUUCAAGUGACAUUUGUAGAGCUUGCGUAGCAUUCAUAGUGAUACACUUGAAAUAGAAUAUU